rnacentral:rRNA from 1 species
AUGAACGCUGGCGGCGUGCCUAAUACCUGCAAGUCGAGCGAACGGACGAGAAGCUUGCUUCUCUGAUGUUAGCGGCGGACGGGUGAGUAACACGUGGUAAACCACCUUUUAGACUGGGAUUAAUUUGGGAAACCCGGAGUAAUCACCGAUAAUAUUUUUAAACCCAUUGUUUAAAAGGUAAAAGACGUCUUGCUGUUACCUUUUGAUUGCACCGCGCUGCAUUAGCUAGUUGGUAAGGUAACGGCUUACCAAGGCAACGAUGCAUAGCCGACCUGAGGGGGUGAUCGGCCACACUGGAACUGAGACACGGUCCAGACUCCUACGGGAGGCAGCAGUAGGGAAUCUUCCGCAAAGGGCGAAAGCCUGACGGAGCAACGCCGCGUGAGUGAUGAAGGUCUUCGGAUCGUAAAACUCUGUUAUUAGGGAAGAACAUAUGUGUAAGUAACUGUGCACAUCUUGACGGUACCUAAUCAGAAAGCCACGGCUAACUACGUG